rnacentral:SRP_RNA from 1 species
CCCCAGGCCCCCAGGGCUCGACGCCAUCAACCCCGUCAGGACCGGAAGGUAGCAGCGGUACGUGGAGAGUCGGGUCGCUGCGGCUCGCCUGGGGCUU